UGGGGAAUAUUGCACAAUGGGCGGAAGCCUGAUGCAGCGACGCCGCGUGGGGGAUGAAGGCCUUCGGGUUGUAAACUCCUUUCGACAGGGACGAAGCGUAAGUGACGGUACCUGUAUAAGAAGCACCGGCUAACUACGUGCCAGCAGCCGCGGUAAUACGUAGGGUGCGAGCGUUGUCCGGAAUUACUGGGCGUAAAGAGCUCGUAGGUGGUUUGUCGCGUCGUCUGUGAAAUUCCGGGGCUUAACUCCGGGCGUGCAGGCGAUACGGGCUGACUUGAGUGCUGUAGGGGAGACUGGAAUUCCUGGUGUAGCGGUGAAAUGCGCAGAUAUCAGGAGGAAUACCGAUGGCGAAGGCAGGUCUCUGGGCAGUAACUGACGCUGAGGAACGAAAGCAUGGGUAGCGAACAGGAUUAGAUACCCUGGUAGUCCAUGCCGUAAACGGUGGGCGCUAGGUGUAGGGGGCUUCCACGUCUUCUGUGCCGUAGCUAACGCAUUAAGCGCCCCGCCUGGGGAGUACGGCCGCAAGGCUA
rnacentral:rRNA from 1 species